GCAUUGGUUGUUCAGUGGUAGAAUUCUUACCUUCUGUGGGGGAGACCUGGGUUUGAUUCCCUGCGAGUGCA
rnacentral:tRNA from 1 species